AUACAUGAGUCAAUUUUAUGAGCAUGCAUGCAAAUUAUACCAAAUUCUAUGAGCCUAAACUAAUAAAAAUGCAAUUUAAUGACACAAGAUGAUUGCACUGAAACCAGGGAAAUAUCAUCCUAUUACUCUAACCAAGAUAUUAUAAAAUUCAUGAACAAAAUUAUCUAAACUUAUGCCUUCUAUGUAGGGCUUUUUCUUCCCGAUCUUUCACUACUAUUUAACUAGUCUACAAAUUGUUACGAGAUGCCUGCCUUAUCUGACUUAAAUUGGUGCAACAUUCAAAACAAUGACCAGCUGACAUGCAUGCUAGUCUAUAUUCAAAGAAGAGAGAGAAGCAAAAUAUUCUGAAAAAAAUAGAUCAGAACCUUAAGUAUUGCAUGUCUGAAAGUAAGCAUCUUAUUGCAACUGAUAACAAGAGCAUUCAUCCAAAAUAUGGUCCAGCUAUCAACAAGAAAAUGGGCUAAUCAACCAACAGUCAAAAAAAAACAUAUAAUCUAUAUGCAAAUGAUGAUUUAAAUCAUUGUAAUCAAAGACUUAACAAUCAAUCAAAGGACAGAAUACAUGAUGCGACACAAGGUUACAAAUACUGGUACUAGACCUUGGACUAAUUUUUGCUAGAAUGGUGCAGUACCAGAUACCAACAUAUGGUAUGGGAUUAAGUCUCAUACUGAGGCACUAUGUACCGGCACCGUAAGCUUGCCAGAACAGUACGGUGCAAUUUAUACAGUCCUACUCUAUUGAUAUUUGAAACUUUGAUGCAACAACUUUGAAGAUUUUGAGAUCUUUAUUUAGAUUAGAUUUUCAUUAGAGUUGACGCAAGACUUUAGAAUUUUGCUGGUUUUGUGUGACGUAGUUUUGAUUAGUUAUUUAAAUUAAAGAUUGAAUGUUAAUUAUUUAAAUUUAUUCUGCUGCUUGAUUAUGAUUUUACGUCGAGAUGCCUUGCAAGCUCGUGGGAAGAGUUUCCUAUGAGUAUGUGGCGAUUACCACGACCCCCGGCUCGCAACCUCGGGUCAAGGGCGUGACAAUCACUCAUGCAGAUUCCUAUUCUGAAUAAAGAUGGAGGAGGUUCAGUCUUAGGUUCACAAUCAUUUAAAGAAAACUAUGGGAUGAAUCUAUCAUCUCCAUGUAAAAAAGUGGGGGAGUGGAAUUAUAAAAUGUAAUGCAUGGUGAAUAUCAAAAUAUUCAAUCACUCAUGUCACCCAAAUAAAAUACAGAAAGAUCUAAAAAGGAUACAGAAACACUAAAUUUAUUUCCUUAAAAAGCAGAGGUUACAGCCAAUAAGGUCAUCAUAGUCCAAUACAUGCUGUUGGACAAAAAUUGUAAAUGAAAUGAACAAUGCACCAGUUAACAGAAGAAAAAUACUAAAGCAGAAAUACAUGAAAGCUUAGGCCAAACUC